GUUAAAAAGCUCGUAGUUGGAUCUCAGUCGCAGACGGGCGGUCCGCCUACCGGUGGUCACUGCCUGUUCUGGACAGUCAGCCGGUUUCCCUGGAUGAUCUUCGCCGGUUGUCCUGGGUGACCGGCACGUUUACUUUGAAAAAAUUAGAGUGCUCAAAGCAGGCGCGACGCCUGGAUAAUGGUGCAUGGAAUAAUGGAAUAGGACCUCGGUCUUAUUCUGUUGGUCUUUGAGACCCGAGGUAAUGAUUAAGAGGGACAGACGGGGGCAUUCGUAUUGCGGCGCUAGAGGUGAAAUUCUUGGACCGCCGCAAGACGAACUACUGCGAAAGCAUUUGCCAAGAAUGUUUCCAUUAAUCAAGAACGAAAGUUAGAGGUUCGAAGGCGAUCAGAUACCGCCCUAGUUCUAACCAUAAACGAUGCCAGCCAGCGAUCCGGAUGUGUUCCUCAAAUGACACUCCGGGCAGCUUCCGGGAAACCAAAGCCUUUGGGUUCCGGGGGAAGUAUGGUUGCAAAGCUGAAACUUAAAGGAAUUGACGGAGGGGCACCACCAGGAAUGGAGCCUGCGGCUUAAUUUGACUCAACACGGGAAAACUUACCCGGCCCGGACACAGGCAGGAUUGACAGAUUAAGAGCUCUUUCUUGAUUCUGUGGGUGGUGGUGCAUGGCCGUUCUUAGUUGGUGGAGUGAUUUGUCUGGUUAAUUCCGAUAACGAACGAGACUCUAGCCUACUAAAUAGACGCUCCGAUGUGUCGUCGUCGGGCGUUCUUCUUAGAGGGACAAGCGGCUUUUAGCCGCACGAGACAGAGCAAUAACAGGUCUGUGAUGCCCUUAGAUGUCCGGGGCCGCACGCGCGCUACACUGAAGGAAUCAGCGUGUGCUUUCCUUGUCCGACAGGACUAGGUAACCCGCGGAACCUCCUUCGUGAUUGGGAUAGGGGCUUGUAACUGUUCCCCUUGAACGAGGAAUUCCCAGUAAGCGCGAGUCAUAAGCUCGUGUUGAUUACGUCCCUGCCCCUUGUACACACCGCCCGUCGCUACUACCGAUUGAAUGAUUUAGUGAGGUCUUCGGACUGGCGCUCGGAGCGGCCAUCCGGUUCGCGCCGGCGUGCCGGAAAGAUGACCAAACUUGAUCAUUUAGAGGAAGUAAAAGUCGUAA
rnacentral:rRNA from 1 species